rnacentral:lncRNA from 1 species
ACGGCGAGAAAACGGGAUCGGCCUUUGCCGGCGGCCAGGCCUACGGCAAAGAUGUUUUUUUGUAUUUUUUCUUUCCUUUCCCAUUUCUCUCUUAUUUCACAUUAUGACGUAAACCACCUCAUUUUGAGUUGAAAUUUUUACUGUACUUUCAUUUGGCAUUGAUGAUGAGUAAUGUGAAUUAAAGUCAUAAUUUUUUAUGUAAAAGUAAUUAUUUAUCAUUUUCUAGAGCCGUUUAAUAUGAAAAAAGGAAAUAAUAUUAAAACUUUGUCAAAAAAAUCACAAUUUUUGGCAUGGUACCAAGUUAUAGGUAUAUAACACUGGGAUAAAAAUUACAAGUGAAUACACAAAAAUAAAAUGCUACAUACUUCACAAAAUGCACGAUCUCGAGAGUGAACCUCCAAAUUUGAAUCCCGAACCAC